rnacentral:rRNA from 1 species
UACGUAGGGUGCAAGCGUUAAUCGGAAUUACUGGGCGUAAAGCGUGCGCAGGCGGUUAUGUAAGACAGAUGUGAAAUCCCCCGGGCUCAACCUGGGAAUUGCGAUGGAGACUGCAAGGCUAGAAUCUGGCAGAGGGGGGUAGAAUUCCACGUGUAGCAGUGAAAUGCGUAGAGAUGUGGAGGAACACCGAUGGCGAAGGCAGCCCCCUGGGUCAAGAUUGACGCUCAUGCACGAAAGCGUGGGGAGCAAACAGG